rnacentral:rRNA from 1 species
AUUGAACGCUGGCGGCAUGCCUUACACAUGCAAGUCGAACGGCAGCACGGGAGCUUGCUCCUGGUGGCGAGUGGCGAACGGGUGAGUAAUGCAUCGGAACGUGCCCUGAAGUGGGGGAUAACGUAGCGAAAGUUACGCUAAUACCGCAUAUUCUGUGAGCAGGAAAGCAGGGGAUCUUCGGACCUUGCGCUUUUGGAGCGGCCGAUGUCGGAUUAGCUAGUUGGUGGGGUAAAGGCCCACCAAGGCGACGAUCCGUAGCGGGUCUGAGAGGAUGAUCCGCCACACUGGAACUGAGACACGGUCCAGACUCCUACGGGAGGCAGCAGUGGGGAAUAUUGGACAAUGGGGGCAACCCUGAUCCAGCCAUGCCGCGUGUGUGAAGAAGGCCUUCGGGUUGU